GCCGCGUGCCUAAUACAUGCAAGUCGAGCGGACAGAUGGGAGCUUGCUCCCUGAUGUUAGCGGCGGACGGGUGAGUAACACGUGGGUAACCUGCCUGUAAGACUGGGAUAACUCCGGGAAACCGGGGCUAAUACCGGAUGCUUGUUUGAACCGCAUGGUUCAAACAUAAAAGGUGGCUUCGGCUACCACUUACAGAUGGACCCGCGGCGCAUUAGCUAGUUGGUGAGGUAAUGGCUCACCAAGGCAACGAUGCGUAGCCGACCUGAGAGGGUGAUCGGCCACACUGGGACUGAGACACGGCCCAGACUCCUACGGGAGGCAGCAGUAGGGAAUCUUCCGCAAUGGACGAAAGUCUGACGGAGCAACGCCGCGUGAGUGAUGAAGGUUUUCGGAUCGUAAAGCUCUGUUGUUAGGGAAGAACAAGUGCCGUUCAAAUAGGGCGGCACCUUGACGGUACCUAACCAGAAAGCCACGGCUAACUACGUGCCAGCAGCCGCGGUAAUACGUAGGUGGCAAGCGUUGUCCGGAAUUAUUGGGCGUAAGGGCUCGCAGGCGGUUUU
rnacentral:rRNA from 1 species